rnacentral:lncRNA from 1 species
AUGGCACUCGGAAUCUCACCCUGGGCUCGUGAGACGCACAGGGCUGCAGCCCUCGUCCCUGCUGGUGGCACUGUCCUCUUCACAGGGCGGGGGGCAGGGGGCUCACCCCUUCCAAGACUGAGCGAGAACCAGGCACCCUGGCUCCCCCCCCCGAAGACCCAGCCCCGGUGUGGGCAGGCUUCGGUGGACGGUGGCACUUGUAAUGCGUUGCUGGGGACCCGACAGCAGGGGUCGGGUGCCUGGGAGCCAGGGCCCUGGCCCAGCCCAGCCGCUCCGCUCCCAUCCCUGCGACGGGAACCUACGGGGGAAUGGUCACUUGUUGGAUGCCAAGUCCUCCAGCCAGGCUGUGGCAGGUGCUGCUGUCAGCCAGGUCCUAGGGGUGGGGAAGCUGCACGGAGCAGCGAGGGGCUUUGCAAGGCAGCCCGCCACGGUCCCCUCCCGGGGAGCUCUGGUCGGGAGCCUGCGGCCUCGGUGGCUGCCCUCCUCCCCUUGCUGGGCCCCUGGGAGCUGGGUGUGCGGCUGCGCUGUGCAGCUGCACGGCAGAGGGGCUCAGUCCUGUCGGGACCUGCGGGGAGGGCUGUCCCCUUGUCCCCGGCUUCUCCCCUGGCCCAGCCUGUCCUGGACCUGACCCAGGGAGGAGAGGGCCCUGGCUGGUGGUGCAGCAAGGUCAGAAGCGGCUCCGUCCAGGUCUGGGGGCCGGGUGCUUCCUCUGUCCUGGUCGCCUCCUCUCGCCCAGUCCAGACGGGCGUCUGUGGAUCUGUGCUGCCUGGCAGGUGCAGCCCCCGGCCGGCUGAGCAGUGUUCUCCCCAUGCUGCCUGCGAGGGGGCCGGGGGCCGCGGGCUGUCACCUACCCGCUCCCUCCUAACCCUCCGGCAGGCGCCAUCAGCUUCCCACCUGCGCGACUCCUGCCCCGCACCCACAGCUCCCCCCACGCCGCCAGCGGCCUCUGCCUCCCACCACAGGGACCCCCUCCGACAAGCCUCUCUGCAUUCCCGCGGACCCCGGCACCACCUCGGGUGUGCCGCUCGGACCCGUGCCGGCGCUUUCAGGAGCUGUGUCCCCGGAGCACCUUCUGGCCACAGCAGAGAACUGCAGACGGCGAGAGACGCGGCAGCCCCUGACCUGGGUCCUGGCCCCCCAGCCCCCGCCCCGUUCCCAGUGGCGCUGUGCCGAGCUGGUCUCCGUCCCAUGACAGCUUCCCAAGAAGAGUGGAGUGUGGCCGCACAGCACUUCCCCAUCAUCCCCCAGGGCUGCGAACGCCAGGUGUCCAACAAGGCUGCGGUGUGCUGGGGUCUGGGUGACCAGGGCCCGCAGCUCUCUCCCCUGCAGCAUGGCCCCACCCCAGAUUGGCCCAGGUCGGCAGGUUAG